rnacentral:rRNA from 1 species
GUGGGGAAUAUUGGGCAAUGGGCGCAAGCCUGACCCAGCAACGCCGCGUGAAGGAAGAAGGCUUUCGGGUUGUAAACUUCUUUUGUCAGGGACGAAAAAAAUGACGGUACCUGACGAAUAAGCCACGGCUAACUACGUGCCAGCAGCCGCGGUAAUACGUAGGUGGCAAGCGUUAUCCGGAUUUACUGGGUGUAAAGGGCGUGUAGGCGGGAAAGCAAGUCAGAUGUGAAAACUAUGGGCUCAACCCAUAGCCUGCAUUUGAAACUGUUUUUCUUGAGUACUGGAGAGGCAGAUGGAAUUCCUAGUGUAGCGGUGAAAUGCGUAGAUAUUAGGAGGAACACCAGUGGCGAAGGCGAUCUGCUGGACAGCAACUGACGCUGAGGCGCGAAAGCGUGGGGAGCAAACAGGAUUAGAAACCCGGGUAGUCC